UACGAAGGGGGCUAGCGUUGCUCGGAAUCACUGGGCGUAAAGCGCACGUAGGCGGCUUCUUAAGUCAGGGGUGAAAUCCUGGAGCUCAACUCCAGAACUGCCUUUGAUACUGGGAGCUCGAGUCCGGGAGAGGUGAGUGGAACUGCGAGUGUAGAGGUGAAAUUCGUAGAUAUUCGCAAGAACACCAGUGGCGAAGGCGGCUCACUGGCCCGGUACUGACGCUGAGGUGCGAAAGCGUGGGGAGCAAACAGG
rnacentral:rRNA from 1 species